rnacentral:rRNA from 1 species
GACGAACGCUGGCGGCGUGCUUAACACAUGCAAGUCGAACGGAAAGGCCCUGCUUUUGUGGGGUGCUCGAGUGGCGAACGGGUGAGUAACACGUGAGUAACCUGCCCUUGACUUUGGGAUAACUUCAGGAAACUGGGGCUAAUACCGGAUAGGAGCUCCUGCUGCAUGGUGGGGGUUGGAAAGUUUCGGCGGUUGGGGAUGGACUCGCGGCUUAUCAGCUUGUUGGGGGGGUAGUGGCUUACCAAGGCUUUGACGGGUAGCCGGCAGGGGAGGGUGACCGGCAAGGGGGGAAGAGAAAUGCGGGCGGGCCUACGGCGGGGGAAAGAGGUGGGGAUUGUAGCAGAGUGGGCGGAGGCAGAGAGCAGCACCGCCGGGGGGGGGAGGGCGGCUUUGGGUUUGAAAACCGCUUCCCCCGGGGAAGAAGGGGGAGGGAGGUAAAGGGAAAAGAAAGCACGGACAAACUCCGUC